UAACGGCGAGUGAAGCGGCAAGAGCUCAAAUUUGAAAGCUGGCUCCUUCGGGGUCCGCAUUGUAAUUUGCAGAGGAUGCUUCGGGUGCAGCCCCCGUCUAAGUGCCCUGGAACGGGCCGUCAUAGAGGGUGAGAAUCCCGUAUGGGGCGGGGUGUCUGCGUCCGUGUGAAGCUCCUUCGACGAGUCGAGUUGUUUGGGAAUGCAGCUCUAAAUGGGUGGUAAAUUUCAUCUAAAGCUAAAUACUGGCCGGAGACCGAUAGCGCACAAGUAGAGUGAUCGAAAGAUGAAAAGCACUUUGAAAAGAGAGUUAAACAGCACGUGAAAUUGUUGAAAGGGAAGCGCUUGCAACCAGACUCGCUCGCGGGGUUCAGCCGGGCUUCGGCCCGGUGUACUUCCCCGCGGGCGGGCCAGCGUCGGUUUGGGCGGCCGGUCAAAGGCCUCCGGAAUGUAGCGCCCUUCGGGGCGCCUUAUAGCCGGGGGUGCAAUGCGGCCAGCCUGGACCGAGGAACGCGCUUC
rnacentral:rRNA from 1 species